UCACCAUAACCACCAGCAUCAGCCCCAAUAUGACCAUUAAAGUCCCAUCCAAUAACUAACUUCUCUGAUUGGGGAAUAUUACCCACCAGCUCAUCCAAGCCCUCCCAAAAGCGCCUUUUAGCCUCCUCGUCUAAGCCCGCUUACGGCGCGUAAGCGCUGAUGACGUUGAGGAUGCAACCCCCAAUAACCAACUUAAUAGACAUUAACCUAUCAUUCACUCGCCUAANNN
rnacentral:lncRNA from 1 species